UGCAUUGUGAACCACGCCCCCAUUCUCCGAUGAUCUUUCAGCCAUAUUGGAUGCUGGGUUCAAACGAAAUUUACUAUUGAUUUAAUUGUAUCGACAGUGGAUAAUUUACUGUAUUCCAUGUCAUGAAUGACCACAAUUUUGAAACGUUGAUAAAUUAUAUCACAGUUUUCUCGUCUUAAAUGAAAGCAUGAGUCAUGAGUUAUCCUAGUUUAUGAUUGCGAAGGUGUUUCUCCGUCAGAUUUGUUAGCACAUUGUUAGCACAGCGAGGUGUCACGUGAUCUCACGGCUUGGCGUAAGAUUGUACGCCACUUACGCUAUUUGCGUGCCAUUUUACCAUGCAUUUUAUGCAUUUUACACAUUUAAGGCUUUUAGCGUCUUACUGUACGCUGUUUGGCCAUGGAGAACAACGCAUCCCAGCUGCCACACGUUAACAGCCGAAUCAAAACGAAAAUAUCCGAGCAGCUAAGGAUUGAAACGAAGUCCGAAAAGAAAACGACAGCAAGAUUCUUGCUCCUGAUAUCCUGAUGAUACUGUCCUGUAUGACUCCAACAGAACACUCACAGAAAGGAGAGCAGUGUCAUACUACAAGAUAACUAGCAACAAACCCUUGUUUGUCCUUGUUUGGCUACUCAUUUGUCUACUUCCUGAAGAGGAGCAUGCUAGCCUCGACACCUCAGUUCUUGCUUCCAUUAACAGCUGUGUUAUGGAGCGCAUCCUCACAUCAUGGUCUACUGCAGCAGGUGGAUACGGAAGACAAUUGGUCCAAACCAUCUUGAAGCCUUUUGGACAGAGGAGCGGAUGACCGAGCUGGUUAACCUCUACAUAAAUAGACACAUGUCAAGUGGGUUUAUCAAGGCCCAAAUAUGCUGAGGAAUACAGGCUGCCUUGGUGGCCUAAGGAGUCAUGUCAAUGAUCAGCUGUUUGUUGAGGCAGCAGCAGCAGGAGCAGCACCAACAACAGAAGCAGCAGCAGCAGCAGGAGCAGCACCACCAGCACUAUAAACGCCAUCAGCAGCAGCGGCAGAUUAUAAAGAAGGAUAACAAUGAAUACAUGAAAUCAGAGUGGGAAGUUGUGCUUUUAUGUUUCAUAUAUACUGUAUAAAUAUAUGCACCUUACUUGAGUGUCUCUACAAUUUACUUAUACUGCAAUGCAAUUAAAAUAAAGGCAUUAAUUUAAUUCAUUUGUCAUUUCAGUUUUUAUUCUUACAUUCAUUUCACCUGGGUGCCAGCCAAA